AGGACAAGAGAAGAACCAAGUCACUUUAACACAUGAAAGGUCCUGGAGCUCUGUAAGAGGACAGCCAAGCACUUGCAGUGCCAAACCACAGCAGAGCUACCUCAUCCUGGAGGAGGAUUUGCUGCAUUCAGGCUUCUGUUAUGGAAGAAGCUUUGCUGCAGUCCGGGUGUGCCACAGGGCUUGUCCUCAGUGGAGCGUGCUGGGAACACCAUCACAGCCCUCAGACAGACAGGAGGACGUCACAGCCCUCAGGAGGACAUCACAGCCCUCAGACAGACAGAAGGACAUCACAGCCCUCUGAGCUCAGCAGUUGAACCAGCCAAACACAGUGGUGGGUCCUUGGACAUCCAAAGGGCUGAGGCCAAGUGGUGCUGCAGCCUCUGUGUCCUCAUUAGUGAGCAGCAGAAGAGUAUCCGUGCCGUGCCUUUCCUUGCCCUGCAAUGAUUUUACUCCACGAGUUCUGUUUUUUUGACAAUUGUCUACUUGCAUCCAUCCCUGGAAGGGGCUCAGACAUGCAUUUCAUGUUGGACAAAAAAACCUGAAUAAGAGGCUUCCUUUAAAAACGGCUCAAGCUGUGGGAGUGCUGCCAAGGUGCUCCGGCGGGUGACGCAGCAAAGUGCUGCAUUGCUCCUGCUGUCCUUGCCCAGGAUACCCAGCAAUCAGCAUGAUGAAGGCUCUCAUUUCCUCAUUUGCAAGUCUACGUUGCUUCACUUUGUCACUGACUUUCUACCCGUGGUGUUUGUGCAACUCUUCCCAGAAUCCUUGGAGCAUGGUUCCCUUCAACAGCUGUUUCACGUGUGGACCUGGUGAAACUUCUGGGUUGGGCAAUGGCCAGCAGCCACCUUCCUGAUGGCACCCUGGAUUGAGUGGGACUGUUUGGUGCCUCCCUUCUCAGCAAACUAAAGGAGGCUGCAGGGGAUCCCACUGCUCACGUGGCUUGGCUUGGAGAGCCCAGCAAGGAGCCUGGUCCAGUGUCUGUGUCUGGCUGUGUUGCUCCAAGGACUGAUGGAGCCAGCACUGCUCAGUGUACCUGUGAUGGGGCACAGCAGUCCUUGGAAGGUGAGACCUUGCUUACGUUGCAGGACUACUGUCAGAACAAGAGAGGAGUGCUCCGUUGUCAUCCCUGUGGUAUUCUCAGUUUCGUGCGCUGCAAUUAAACCACCUGCCAAAUAAUGAUGUGGCAAAUCUGGGCGGUGUGGCCUCCUCCAAUCUGCUUCUUAAAGCUGGGAACAUGAGCUGGACUGGAAAACAUCUGCUCUGUGCAGCCUGGGUCAUGGUAAUCAUUUAUGACUGUUAGUAGAUCUGAAAUUUGCAGGUAAAACGUUUCCUACCCAGACAUACCAAUGACAGUGCCAGUUCCUCCUGGUCUCCCUGGGUUCUUCUGAAAAGGGAAGGGCAGCAUAGCUGCUGUCCUUUGGAGCAGGGAUGAAUCAGAAGAGGUUGAAUAGCAGGAGGCUGGUACUGCUGUAUUCUCUCUGCAGAUGCAAACUAUGUGAACACAUUCAUCACAUCCUGAGAAUGCACCCCAGAUUUGCUUUUGUGCCUCUUGUUAUUACAGGCUGGUUGGGCUUGAAAGGUAGAAAUCAACGAUUUCCAACCAAGCCUGUGUUGUGGAGCCAGCAAUUCCCAGCUGCCAGGGGGGCUUUGAGGGGCCAUCCUGGUCUGACAGGUGUCAGCCUGGCAGAGCCACUGCAGAGUGUGGGAAGCAGUCAGGAUUCACAUCCCCUCCGGGUGUCUCAGCAAAGCUGGCAGGUUUGUGGCACAGGUGCUGCCAGAGGUCUUGUCUGAAGCCGUAUCUCAGCUGAGGUGUGACAUGUGCCACAAAGAAAAAAGUGCCACGUGGAUUGGAAUGUCAGGGAGGUGGCACAAUUUCCCCUUGCUCUGUGAGGGAAGUGAGGGUUUUUCUUUAUUCACAGAAGGACCACGCUUUAAGCAGUGCUGUGCUGCAGAUCAAAGAGGACUUCCUUGAGUUCAUCAUCUUGUGAAGUCUGGAGAAAGGAAAACUGCUGAGCUUCCUCCAAGGUGCUUGCAGGGGAGUUGGAUGCAAACCUCUCUGAGCAGGCUCCGAAAUGCCAGUGACGGGGUUGCCGUGAUUGUAUCAUGAGUCUUGCAUUGGUUGCGUGUUUUCCUUGGAGUCAGUUCCUGGAAUCACACAAUUAGGUAGGAACGUGUUCUAUAAUUUUCAAGGAAGAAAGUCCAUUUUGGGAUCUCCCUGUGGCCCUGAACCUUCACAACUAAAGGGGAAUGAGGAGGUCCUGGGUCUGCUCUCCUGGCCAUUCAGAACCUUUCAUAGACAGA